rnacentral:RNase_P_RNA from 2 species
AGAGCCAAUUAGGCAAUCGCUCCGACUUUAUGUCGGAGAGGAAAGUCCGGACAUUCUCGGUGAAAAUCGAGUCAAGGGUAAUGGAUAACGUCCAUCGUCUGCCUCGCGAGGGGUAUGAUAGGGAAAGUCCCGCCGUUGGCGGGAUCCCGCUUCUUUGUGAAAAGGGGCGGUGAUGCCACAGAGACAAUACUAACCAAUUUUGAUUGAGUUUAGCCCAGCACCUUUUCUGCAAACAAAUUUUUUUAACAGUUUAUUUUUCGUAGAGAAACGACUGCGUCUUACGCUGUAUUAAAUAUAAGUUUGUUAAUGGAAAAGGUGCAUGGGCGCUCAAUCUUGUAGCUGAGCUGAAUCUCAGACAAAAUUGGCGAAAGGUGAAAAGAAUAUUAGUGUUUUUAAUUCCUUGUUCGCUUUAUCAGCUGAAUAGCGAAAUUAAGAGCUAUGAUAUUUAUUUGUUAGUGAUAACAAAAUAGGGAAAACCCUACUUGAUGCAAGGCCGUACUCCGACGUUACGUCGGAGGGUGCCGCUAGAAUUCGAUGGCAACAUCGGAUCAAGAUAAAUGAUUGUCGUCCCGAGUUCUCGGGAUACAGAAUCCGGCUUAUAGAUUGGCUUUGAAA